UACGGGGGGGGGCAAGCGUUGUUCGGAAUUACUGGGCGUAAAGGGCUCGUAGGCGGCCAACUAAGUCAGACGUGAAAUCCCCAGGCUCAACCUGGGAACUGCGUCUGAUACUGGUUGGUCUUGGAAUCCGGGAGGAGGGAUGCAGAAUUCCAGGUGUAGCGGUGAAAUGCGUAGAUAUCUGGAGGAAUACCGGUGGCGAGGCGGCAUCCUGGACCGUAUGACGCUGAGGCAGCGAAAGCUAGGGGAGCAAACGGG
rnacentral:rRNA from 1 species